UGCUAAGGCUGAUGGCGACCGGCGCACGGGUGAGUAACACGUAUCCAACCUGCCGUCUACUCUUGGCCAGCCUUCUGAAAGGAAGAUUAAUCCAGGAUGGCAUCAUGAGUUCACAUGUCCGCAUGAUUAAAGGUAUUUUCCGGUAGACGAUGGGGAUGCGUUCCAUUAGAUAGUAGGCGGGGUAACGGCCCACCUAGUCAACGAUGGAUAGGGGUUCUGAGAGGAAGGUCCCCCACAUUGGAUCUGAGACACGGUCCAAACUCCUACGGGAGGCAGCAGUGAGGAAUAUUGGUCAAUGGGCGAUGGCCUGAACCAGCCAAGUAGCGUGAAGGAUGACUGCCCUAUGGGUUGUAAACUUCUUUUAUAAAGGAAUAAAGUCGGGUAUGCAUACCCGUUUGCAUGUACUUUAUGAAUAAGGAUCGGCUAACUCCGUGCCAGCAGCCGCGGUAAUACGGAGGAUCCGAGCGUUAUCCGGAUUUAUUGGGUUUAAAGGGAGCGUAGAUGGAUGUUUAAGUCAGUUGUGAAAGUUUGCGGCUCAACCGUAAAAUUGCAGUUGAUACUGGAUGUCUUGAGUGCAGUUGAGGCAGGCGGAAUUCGUGGUGUAGCGGCGAAAUGCUUAGAUAUCACGAAGAACUCCGAUUGCGAAG
rnacentral:rRNA from 1 species